rnacentral:rRNA from 1 species
UUGAACGCUGGCGGCAUGCCUUACACAUGCAAGUCGAACGGUAACGGGUUAAGCCGACGAGUGGCGAACGGGUGAGUAAUAUAUCGGAACGUGCCCAAUCGUGGGGGAUAACGCAGCGAAAGUUGUGCUAAUACCGCAUAAGAUCUACGGAUGAAAGCGGGGGACUCAGCAAUGGGCCUCGCGCGAUUGGAGCGGCCGAUAUCAGAUUAGCUAGUUGGUGGGGUAAAAGCUCACCAAGGCGACGAUCUGUAGCUGGUCUGAGAGGACGACCAGCCACACUGGAACUGAGACACGGUCCAGACUCCUACGGGAGGCAGCAGUGGGGAAUUUUGGACAAUGGGCGCAAGCCUGAUCCAGCAAUGCCGCGUGCAGGAUGAAGGCCUUCGGGUUGUAAACUGCUUUUGUACGGAACGAAACGGUUCUCUUUAAUAAAGAGGGCUAAUGACGGUACCGUAAGAAUAAGCACCGGCUAACUACGU